rnacentral:rRNA from 1 species
GAUAAACGCUGGCGGCGUGCUUAACACAUGCAAGUCGAACGAAGUUUUUCUUUCGGGAGGAACUUAGUGGCGGACGGGUGAGUAACGCGUGGGUAACCUGCCCUGUACAGGGGGACAACAGCUGCAAACGGCUGCUAAUACCGCAUAAGCCCUUAGCACUGCAUGGUGCAUAGGGAAAAGGAGCAAUCCGGUACAGGAUGGACCCGCGUCUGAUUAGCCAGUUGGCAGGGUAACGGCCUACCAAAGCGACGAUCAGUAGCCGAUCUGAGAGGAUGUACGGCCACAUUGGGACUGAGACACGGCCCAGACUCCUACGGGAGGCAGCAGUGGGGAAUAUUGCACAAUGGAGGAAACUCUGAUGCAGCGACGCCGCGUGAGUGAAGAAGUAUUUCGGUAUGUAAAGCUCUAUCAGCAGGAAAGAAAAUGACGGUACCUGACUAAGAAGCACCGGCUAAAUACGUG